CUGAUGGGCAGGAAAAGGCUGGAACGAAAAGCCCUGGCCUUUGCUGGCCUCGAUGGCUUUGCAGAAGAGAGGUGGCCUCCACCCACGUCUCCCCUCCCCCUCCGCGCCACACAGCAGUACUGCAGUUUGUCACCUGCUUGGCUGGCCCCCUUAACAGUUGAAGCUCUGUUCCUCCUAUGAAAGACUCAGCUACUCUAUCUCCUGGCUGAAGCCUCCAAGCUCCCCGAACACUGUGGUCCCUGAGGCUGUGAGACUCUCUCUUGCAAGUCAGCACCUGAGGAUCCCUGGUCCAAGCUUCAUUCCUCUGGGUCCAAGAACCUAGAAGAAAAGCCUGGAGCCACACACUCACCUGGGUGAAGCCAUAAGGAGGUCUUUUCAAGGCCUGACUAAACACCUAAGAGAAGCAACUUAAGGAAGAAAGGACUUAGUUGGAUAACGGCUCAGAGAGUCCACCACAUCAGGGAAGCCUGGUAGCUGGAGUGAGUCAGACCACUGUGGCUGAAGCUUCCCACAUGAUGUGGACCACAAGCAAACAAACAAGAACAAGGAAAUCUGGCCUGUCACUCUCAAUGACUAUCACCAGUGACCCUCCAGUGCCAGCCAUGCUUCCUACUACAAAGGCUCCACAACCUCCCAAAACAGGGGACCAAGGGUUCACACACAUGUGCCUAUAGAGGACACAUCACAGUCAACAUAAGAGUGGAACUGAGACACAGAGUGGAAGCCAGAGGGAAGAACACUGAUCCUACAUCUUAAUAAAUGGCCAUAGAGGGACUGCCACUUGCUAUUAAGUAGCAUGUAAACCUCAGAGACUGUCUGUCAUCUUGUGCUUUAAAGGCUACUUUAAGUGACAAUGUUAAUGAUGUAUCUAGUGAUGACAGUUGGCGAAACAAAGCCCAGCCAUCAGAAGCUUAUUGAAUAUAAGUGUCUAGCACACCGCGAGCCACCCAGCAAUCUAAUGUGGAAAUGCAGAUGUGCCACCAAAGACACAGACAGUUCAUGACCUCACAUGGUGUCUCUGCAGGACACUCACCUGUGUGGAUAUGACAGAGCAUGGGUCAUUUGGACUGCCGAAGGGUGUUGUUUUCCUGGGGAGAUGGCUCAACCAGGAAAAUGUUGGCAGCCUAAGCCUGAGGACCUGAAUUAAGACCCCAGAGCCCAUGUUACAGGGAGUCUGGAGUGACAGUGCAUACUUGGCGUGCUGGUCCUGAGGAGUUGGAGUCAAAGGCAUGCCCAGGGCUCCAGAGCCAGUCAGUUCUGUGAGCUCAAGCUCAAGGAGAGACCUUGUCAUAGAAAACAAGAUGGCGGCUGCUUAGGAAGGACGUUUGAGCUGAUCUCUGUACUUCACUCACACAUGCACACACACACAGGUACACAUUUUAUUUUAGAACCCAUGUUCAUAAAGGAGAGUAGAGAUGGGUAAGUAUGAAGACAGCACAGAAAAUAGUUGAAGCUUUGAUGCAAUUAUUCAGCAGCUCCGACCUUUGAUGGUUACACCUAGACUUGUGAUUUGACUUAAGUGGUUUUCUUUUUUAUGGAGAAAAGAGUUUUUGACUUCCUAUACAGUACCAGGUAAAUUAUGCCUUAGAUAAAAUAAUCUGUGUAUGGAAUGGUUGUAACUAACUAUAGAUCACUGUAAAUCCACCAAGCACAUCUGAGGUAGGGCAGGCUAAGCAGUGGUAUUCGGAAGGUUGGACAGGUUAUUAGGCUUCAGUUGGUCUAUUGGUGUGGAAUCCUAUCACGAGUUAAAGUUUCUUUAAGAGUAUAGCUAGUGUAACUCUUACACUCUGCACUGAGAAUUAGUACAGAAAGGGGCU
rnacentral:lncRNA from 1 species